CUGAGCCCCGCCCGGGCUCGCGGCUCCAGCCCGGCCCGGCCCGCCGAGGCGCCGCGCGGCGGUGGCGCCCGAGCCCUCUACCGGUUGCGCUCUGCGCCGCGGCCGCAGCGUGCGCCCCAGCUCGGACCCGGGCGGAUCCGCACCCCCGAGCGCAGCCGACGCCCCUAGAGGCGCCUCCGCCUCCUCCUCCUCCUCCUGGCCUCGCCCGCCCCUCUAGGUUUCCAGAACCUGACAGCUUCCGAAGAGGCACGUUUCGACCAUCACUUCCCUGAUCCUCGCCGCCUCCUCUUAGAUGUGGCAAAUUCUAAGGAGCAGAAACCAGGAGGGCUGAUCCUGCCAGGGAAGGCCUCGGGAAGAGGGAAGCCUGAGCCUGGUUAUGAGCCAGCGGAAAGGACAAUUUCCACAGUGGGACAGAACGAGGUUAGAGGAACGUGUUGCCUCUUAAUAUUCUACAGAAGGUCGCCUUAACCAGCGAGAGUCCCGCUUCCAUCC